rnacentral:rRNA from 1 species
GACGAACGCUGGCGGCGUGCUUAACACAUGCAAGUGGAGCGACGAACCAGGGCUUGCCCUGGGGCAAAGCCGCGAACAGGUGAGUAACACGUGGGUAACCUGCCCUGUUGAUUGGGACAACCCCGGGAAACCGGGGCUAAUACCAAAUGUGCUCCUUCCACAUCAGUGGAUUGAGGAAAGGAGGCUUCGGCUUCCGCAACGGGAUGGGCCCGCGGCCCAUUAGCUUGUUGGUGGGGUAACGGCCUACCAAGGCUUCGAUGGGUAGCUGGUCUGAGAGGACGAUCAGCCACACUGGGACUGAGACACGGCCCAGACUCCUACGGGAGGCAGCAGUGGGGAAUCUUGCGCAAUGCGCGAAAGCGUGACGCAGCAACGCCGCGUGAGGGAAGACGGCCUUCGGGUUGUAAACCUCUUUCAGUUGGGACGAAGCCUCGGCGGUCAAUACCCGUCUGAGGUGACGGUACCUGCAGAAGAAGCACCGGCCAACUACGUGCCAGCAGCCGCGGUAAUACGUAGGGUGCGAGCGUUGUCCGGAAUUAUUGGGCGUAAAGGGCUCGUAGGCGGUCUGUCGCGUCGAAAGUGAAAACUCGGGGCUUAACCCUGAGCCUGCUUCCGAUACGGGCAGACUAGAGGUAUGCAGGGGAGAACGGAAUUCCUGGUGUAGCGGUGGAAUGCGCAGAUAUCAGAGGAACACCGGUGGCGAAGGCGGUUCUCUGGGCAUUACCUCACGCUGAGGAGCGAAAGUGUGGGGAGCGAACAGGAUUAGAUACCCUGGUAGUCCACACCGUAAACGUUGGGCGCUAGNGUGGACUCAUUCCACGAGUUCCGUGCCGCAGCUAACGCAUUAAGCGUCC